AAUCCGCAAAGUAUAAUUGAAUAGUGAGCAAUCACCAGCAGACAAAAACACGCUUUGGAGAAAAAAAAUAUUAGGAAAGAAAAUCCAAUGCUUUGUGUUUGCAACCUAGGCGGUUAUUUUGUUUUAUUUAUCUGCAGCCCCCAGAGCAAGAGAUGAGACCCAGAAGCACUGCACAGCAGUGGGGAAACCAUCUCCAAACUCAGAGGUUAUCAAUGUGAUGUGCACUGGCAGAACCACCCCAUGUGCAGGGAGGUGAUGCCCCAUCACCAGUUCGUCCAGCUCCAACCUCACCCUCCCAGGGCUGCGAGUAAAGAACUGACCAUGGUCCUGACCGCUUCAGGCUCAGGACACGCUGCACCAAGCAGGUCCCAGGCCCAGCUUCAGAGCACACGAGCACAGCUCAUCACAUCCCAAGCAAGACUUGAAUCUGGGCCACAACCCCAGCAGGUGACACAGGCAGUGACAACCAGCACCUGGCAUAGUUCAUGCACUGCCACCCCCAUCACAGGUCCCACGUGCUGAGCCAGUGUCACCUGGAGCUGCAGCCCCACCAGGACCCCGGGUCUGCCUAACAGCUGUCCAACACCACACCCACCUCACUCCUUGCCCAGAUGGGUGACAGGCACCAGACCACCAGCUGAGAAGAGCCGGACAUGAUGCCUUCAGAGCUCACUCGACAGGAAACCACAUCCCACUGUGGGAAUCCAUCCUCCCUUCCCUCAAUUUGGUAGAAGAAUACCACCCAAAAUGGCAAAACAUGGCUGCACCCAGUGUUCUGGAGUUUGGUGUCACCACCAGGACAAGCCCUGUGCCCACACACCGAUGUUCCCUGACUCACCCACUGA